UACGUAGGUGGCAAGCGUUGUCCGGAAUUACUGGGCGUAAAGAGCGCGUAGGCGGGGAUUUAAGUCAGGAGUGAAAACUACCGGCUCAACCGGUAGCCUGCUCUUGAAACUGAAUUUCUUGAGGGUAUGAGAGGAAAGCGGAAUUCCCAGUGUAGCGGUGAAAUGCGUAGAUAUUGGGAGGAACACCAGUGGCGAAGGCGGCUUUCUGGCAUACAACUGACGCUGAGGCGCGAAAGCGUGGGGAGCAAACGGGAUUAGAUACCCGAGUAGU
rnacentral:rRNA from 1 species